CUUUUAGCAACCUUAAUCCAUAAAUUUGUCAUUGGGUUUUAUUGACCAAGACAAGAUUAAGACCCAACCCAAACAAAAGACUUGAUUAAGAUCCAAUAAUCCAGUACAUUUUCAAAUGAAAAAAUUGAGAAGCAAAGCUAAUCAACAAUGGAGGAAGAUGAUAGAAGACCCAACUCCAAAUCUUCUGCAAUUUCUCAAGCUCAAUUCGCCAAAUUUCGGGAAUUGCAUAAGAGGCGUUUGCAAAUGAAAACAAAGAUAAAGAACAAAAGGAAGUCGAAAGAUAAAAAAGAAAAAUUAAGUGAAGAAGUUGAUAAGCAAGGAUGUGUGAAUGACCUUAUCGAUAAACAAGUAAGUGCUAGAAGCAGCUCGAAAGACGAGGAUAGUAAUGAAGGAUCAUCGUCAACUUCUCAUAUCGAUUUACAUCCUGUAUUGAAAAAGAAAAAGUUGCAUUGGGGGCUAGACACGAAAGAACGAUGGGAAAGAAAGGCCAAUAUGUAAUACUUGCAGAAUACUUGAAUGCAAACAAGCAUACCCACCAUUCAACUUGUUGUAAUGCUUGAACGUCGAACAAUCAUUGUCGACCGCUGAAGUGAUGAAGCUCCGAUUAUGUUAAGCUGUAGUAUGGUGCACUUUUCGUCUGUGAAAAGCUAUGUUUCUGGAUGAAUCUGACUUGGGUUUGUUUUUUUUGCUGAAGUUUGCAGGCCUUUCACAGAUGAAGCUCUUGCUUGUUGGUAAAAGUUCAAAUGGACUAAUACUUCCUAUAUUCAAAGUUGCUUCUAAACAAGAAUAUGCAAGUGUUAUAAAUAAGCACUUCAUUUGUACAAUUUGUCUUAUAGCAAGGCAAACUAAAAUUUUUCUUUUACUAAUCAGCUAGUCUUUUGAGAGGCGUAUUUCAAACCCAACACAUUAAAGAUUAAUGUUUGCUUAUCGUAUUCUUAAUGCAUGCUUAUAUUAUCCUUAAUGCUUAUUUUCGUAUCCGUAUUGUCUACUUUCAAUACUUUAAAUGUGUACUUACAUUAUUGUUAAUGUCUACUUACAGAAUUUUACAAAGUAUAUAAUGAGUUGGCCCAAUUAGAGAUGGUUUUUCAUAGAGAUCGUCUCUUACAAGAAUUUGUGUUUACUAAUAGUCUUACACAGUCUACAACUCCUUUAUAAAUGCUUCAUGUUGAUAUAUGGGGCCUUUUAGACAAAUGACAAGACUAAAAUAUAAUAUGUUCAUAACCAUAGUUGAUGAUUUUAGUAGAUUUACUUGGUUGCACUUCAUUAAAUUUAAAAAUACUCAAAGUUCAAAUCAUUUGAUCUGACAAUGCAAAAGAGUUAGUUGAAGGAGAAGCACAACAUCCUACAAGUCAUUGAUCACUUUUUGAGAAAAUCAGAUUAUAAAUGUAAUUUCAGUCUUUCUACAUCUUGGUGCAACAUAGUUUCUUGCCCUUUAUGAAACAAACAUAUAUAGAGCCAACAGCAUACAAAGAAGCUUUUAUAUAAGGUAGUUACUAGCUCUCUUUACACGCUUUCUCCGAUUCCGAUUGGGGAGCA